rnacentral:rRNA from 1 species
UACGGGGGGGGCAAGCGUUGUUCGGAAUUACUGGGCGUAAAGGGUUUGUAGGUGGCCGGCUAAGUCAGACGUGAAAUCCCUCAGCUUAACUGGGGAACUGCGUCUGAAACUGAUCGGCUCGAGUGCAGGAGAGGAACGCGGAAUUCCAGGUGUAGCGGUGAAAUGCGUAGAUAUCUGGAGGAACACCGGUGGCGAAGGCGGAUCUCUGGGCCUUACCUGACGCUCAGGCACGAAAGCUAGGGGAGCGAACAGG